rnacentral:piRNA from 1 species
UAACUAAUGGAAUUUCAUGGUCUAGGAAA